UACGGAGGAUCCGAGCGUUAUCCGGAUUUAUUGGGUUUAAAGGGUGCGUAGGCGGUUUGAUAAGUUAGAGGUGAAAUGUCGGGGCUCAACCCCGGCCUGCCGUCGGAACUGGGUGCCUUGAGUGGGCGAGAAGUAUGCGGAAUGCGUGGUGUAGCGGUGAAAUGCAUAGAUAUCACGCAGAACCCCGAUUGCGAAGGCAGCAUACCGGCGCCCUACUGACGCUGAGGCACGAAAGUGCGGGUAUCGAACAGG
rnacentral:rRNA from 1 species